UUAAAUUGAAGAGUUUGAUCAUGGCUCAGAUUGAACGCUGGCGGCAGGCCUAACACAUGCAAGUCGAACGGUAACAGAAGUCAGCUUGCUGAUUUGCUGACGAG
rnacentral:rRNA from 1 species